rfam:Vigna radiata mitochondrion, complete genome.
GAAAGCCCUAUGAUGGGAAACUAUCACGUUAGGUUUGGAGAGAGAUCGGACCUAUUAUUCUAUUAAAUAGGGAGAGCAGAUGCAAGCUUUUUCUUUCAAUAGUCGGCAAAAUGACUACAGGAUCAUCGGUCUACUCUAC